rnacentral:lncRNA from 1 species
AAUUUCAAGGAGGUGAAAAAUUGAUAUUUCCGAAAGUCCAACCAUAAAAACUAGUACACAGAGAGGCUAUGCAGAAUAUAUAGCUGUAUCUUCAACUAUGGAAAGAAAGGGAUGACGUAGCAAAGCAACAAUCAGCUAGAAGUACUCCCUAGAUCACCUCUCAUCUCCACAAUUUCUAGACUUCCUACAGCGCUUGUUCGUUGACUUUCCGGGUUGCUGUGUUCAGGGCCCAGGAACUCCCGAGUUCUUUCCCCCUCUCACCAGGGUUGGCUGCAGCAUUCUUGUGACCAGGUUUCUCCUACAUCUCUGUUCAGUGUGACA